GAUGAACGCUGGCGGCGUGCCUAAUACAUGCAAGUCGAGCGAACAGACGAGGAGCUUGCUCCUCUGACGUUAGCGGCGGACGGUGAGUAACACGUGGAUAACCUACCUAUAAGACUGGGAUAACUUCGGGAAACCGGAGCUAAUACCGGAUAAUAUAUUGAACCGCAUGGUUCAAUAGUGAAAGACGGUUUUGCUGUCACUUAUAGAUGGAUCCGCGCCGCAUUAGCUAGUUGGUAAGGUAACGGCUUACCAAGGCGACGAUGCGUAGCCGACCUGAGAGGGUGAUUGGCCACACUGGAACUGAGACACGGUCCAGACUCCUACGGGAGGCAGCAGUAGGGAAUCUUCCGCAAUGGGCGAAAGCCUGACGGAGCAACGCCGCGUGAGUGAUGAAGGUCUUCGGAUCGUAAAACUCUGUUAUUAGGGAAGAACAAAUGUGUAAGUAACUAUGCACGUCUUGACGGUACCUAAUCAGAAAGCCACGGCUAACUACGUG
rnacentral:rRNA from 1 species